rnacentral:rRNA from 1 species
AGAGUUUGAUCCUGGCUCAGAAUGAACGCUGGCGGCGUGCCUAACACAUGCAAGUCGGAUGUGCCGCAAGAUGCAUGGCAGACGGGUGAGUAACGCGUAGGGAAUCUACCUCUUUGUGGGGAAUAACGCUCCGAAAGGAGUGGUAAUACCGCAUGAGACCGAGUGCUGGGAUGCAUUCGGUGAAACCUGGGGACCGCAAGGCCUGGGGCAAGGAGAGGAUCCUGCGUCUGAUUAGCUAGUUGGCGGGGUAAUGGCCCACCAAGGCGACGAUCAGUAGCCGGCCUGAGAGGGUGAUCGGCCACACUGGAACUGAGACACGGUCCAGACUCCUACGGGAGGCAGCAGUGGGGAAUUUUGCGCAAUGGACGAAAGUCU